ACCUGUUACGGGUCUCCAUCAGGAGGUUCACUUUUAUCCCCACGCACCUUCCUGUCUCCACCUCAGCAGGAGCCCAGUUCGAGCCUCGUGGUGUCCUUUAAUUCACUCACUUGGGUAACCAGUGAUGCUGGAGGGACCUAAGCAAUGAAUACAAUUUGACGAGGGAAGAAAUUCCGCAGUCUGGUGUUCACCAUGGGGCGGCGGCGCUGGAUUACUCUUAUUGCGGUUGGAAGGCGUGUUGGCGGGCUGGUGUAUCGACUGAUAUU
rfam:Stemphylium lycopersici strain CIDEFI 216 scaffold20, whole genome shotgun sequence.